AGUGUUUCAGAUCUGGAAUACAGUUUUUGGAGAGAGAGAGAGAGAGAUAUGUAUAUAUAUAGGGUAGUGAACCCUUAGUAAGCAUCCUGGUUACCUUCACCAACAAAAACAACAACUGCUUACAGAUAAUUUCUUAACUUGGCAUAAGAAGCUUGUGGCAUGGGAGCUGAGCCUUCCUGAGUUUAGCAUUAGAGAUAGAGAGAUGGGAGAAAUAAUGGGUAUGUUGAGUACUUUCCGGCAGCUUGACGAAAACUCUGUCAAGUAACAGAACAGUCUGCCAUGAGGGAAAGAUAGGGGAAGAAUGAUGAACAUAGCACAAAAUUGCUG
rnacentral:lncRNA from 1 species